UUUUAGCCCUGAUAGUAGCGGAAAUCCUUUUUCUGGCUCUUUUAGCAAGGAAAAGAUUGUAACGAAUUGCUUCGCCAGUU
rnacentral:sRNA from 2 species